AAAAUUUAAAAUUAUGAAUAUUUUAUUCAUUUAAUCAAAACCCUACUCAGCGAAGCUCAACAACAGCUCCAACAAAACGACAUCGCAUUUCGUACUGAACUCAAUUCGCCGGAAAACGCAGCCGGAGUUCGUCGUCGGCCGCCUCAAACAGUAAGAAGAUAGUCCUGAAUGUCCUGUUAUUGUAGGAUAAUCAGUGUUGUUAAUCAUGGUAUGGUCAAGUAUAAGUAGGAGAACCCGUCUUUUGCCGUACUUAAGGGCUUUCCGAAAUUCCCCAGAAUUCAGGGGGCAAUCUAUUAUUCCUGAAGGACCAGGUUAUAACAUAGUUAAUCCUUGUUCUGGAUUCCAGCGUGAUUUCUCUUGUAAAAUACGUCUGUCAAGGUUUAAGCAUGAAUUGAGUACAUUGUCACUCCAUCAUUGUUACCGCUCUUCAGCUUUUGCUUCACACAAUGUUGGAAGGUUGUGUUCCAUGCCUGGUUUCCGACACAUCUCAUCUCAUGCAUCCAGAGAGCAAAAAUCACGAAAGAUGCUCAUUUACUUGACAGGCUUGGUCUUUGGAAUGGUUGGAAUGUCAUAUGCUGCAGUUCCCCUUUACCGGAGAUUUUGCCAAGCAACUGGCUAUGGGGGAACUAUUACCCGACGUGAGAGUGUUGAAGAAAAGAUUGAAAGGCAUGAUAGAAAUCAAACAGCCACCUCAAGGGAAAUUGUGGUACAGUUCAAUGCUGAUAUUGCUGAUGGGAUGCAAUGGAAGUUUGUUCCUACACAGAGAGAGGUUAGGGUGAAGCCCGGAGAAAGUGCCCUCGCAUUUUAUACCGCAGAAAACAAAAGUUCUACUCCAAUAACCGGUGUUUCUACCUAUAAUGUAACUCCUAUGAAGGCUGGAGUUUACUUUAAUAAAAUACAAUGCUUCUGUUUUGAGGAGCAGCGACUACUUCCCGGAGAGCAGAUUGACAUGCCUGUAUUCUUUUAUAUCGACCCGGAAAUUGAGGACGAUCCUAAAAUGGAUGGUAUCAAUAACAUAAUAUUAUCAUAUACUUUCUUCAAGGUUUCUGAAGAAUAAUACCCACUUGAACAUUUAAAACAUAAAUAACGGCGUUGCUACCUUUCCUGGAAGCUCAUUGCUCAAGUGUUUUGAAGGUUCAGUGGAAUCAUUUAUUACCUUCCUGAAUCAGUGUUGUUUAGUGUUAAUUUAUUGUGUCAUGUGGAAUGCAAAAGAGCCUGGUGAAGAAUCUCUUAGCAAUUUAGACACAUUUCUUUGUUUUUAAUGUUAAUUGAAAAGUCAUGAUCAUUGAGAUAUUUGGCUAUUAUUCGAUUGAAACCAGAGAGGUAUGAAUCUGGACUUUAUGUUUGUUGGGCUCAUGUAUCAUUGUAAUAUUUUAUAAAAUACCACAACUUUCAAUAAUUUUAAUUUGAAACUUUAAAGUUUA